rnacentral:rRNA from 1 species
UACGGAGGAUGCGAGCGUUAUCCGGAUUUAUUGGGUUUAAAGGGUGCGUAGGCGGGCUUUUAAGUCAGCGGUAAAAAUUCGGGGCUCAACCCCGUCCGGCCGUUGAAACUGGGGGUCUUGAGUGGGCGAGAAGUAGGCGGAAUGCGUGGUGUAGCGGUGAAAUGCAUAGAUAUCACGCAGAACCCCGAUUGCGAAGGCAGCCUUCCGGCGCCCUACUGACGCUGAGGCACGAAAGUGCGGGGAUCGAACAGG